GCUAUAAUGCAGUCGAACGCACAGCGAAAGGUGCUUGCACCUUUCAAGUGAGUGGCGAACGGGUGAGUAACACGUGGACAACCUGCCUCAAGGCUGGGGAUAACAUUUGGAAACAGAUGCUAAUACCGAAUAAAACUUAGUAUCGCAUGAUACCAGGUUAAAAGGCGCUACGGCGUCACCUAGAGAUGGAUCCGCGGUGCAUUAGUUAGUUGGUGGGGUAAAGGCCUACCAAGACAAUGAUGCAUAGCCGAGUUGAGAGACUGAUCGGCCACAUUGGGACUGAGACACGGCCCAAACUCCUACGGGAGGCUGCAGUAGGGAAUCUUCCACAAUGGGCGAAAGCCUGAUGGAGCAACGCCGCGUGUGUGAUGAAGGCUUUCGGGUCGUAAAGCACUGUUGUAUGGGAAGAAAAGUUAAGGUAGGGAAUGACCUUAGCCUGACGGUACCAUACCAGAAAGGGACGGCUAAAUACGUGCCAGCAGCCGCGGUAAUACGUAUGUCCCGAGCGUUAUCCGGAUUUAUUGGGCGUAAAGCGAGCGCAGACGGUUGGUUAAGUCUGAUGUGAAAGCCCGGAGCUCAACUCCGGAAAGGCAUUGGAAACUGGUUAACUUGAGUGCAGUAGAGGUAAGUGGAACUCCAUGUGUAGCGGUGGAAUGCGUAGAUAUAUGGAAGAACACCAGCGGCGAAGGCGGCUUACUGGACUGUAACUGACGUUGAGGCUCGAAAGUGUGGGUAGCAAACAGGAUUAGAUACCCUGGUAGUCCACACCGUACACGAUGAACACUAGGUGUUAGGAGGUUUCCGCCUCUCAGUGCCGAAGCUAACGCAUUAAGUGUUCCGCCUGGGGAGUACGACCGCAAGGUUGAAACUCAAAGGAAUUGACGGGGACCCGCACAAGCGGUGGAGCAUGUGGUUUAAUUCGAAGCAACGCGAGAACCUUACCAGGUCUUGACAUCCUUUGAAGCUUUAGAAAUA
rnacentral:rRNA from 1 species